GCCCGCGUGGUGUAGUGGUCUAUCAUGAGGCGUUGUCGAUGCCUCGACCCGGGUUCAAAUCCCGGCGCGGGCG
rnacentral:tRNA from 1 species